rnacentral:rRNA from 1 species
ACUCCUACGGGAGGCAGCAGUGGGGAAUAUUGCACAAUGGGCGCAAGCCUGAUGCAGCCAUGCCGCGUGUAUGAAGAAGGCCUUCGGGUUGUAAAGUACUUUCAGCAGUGAGGAAGGCGGAGUCGUUAAUAGCGGCCUCGUUUGACGUUAGCUGCAGAAGAAGCACCGGCUAACUCCGUGCCAGCAGCCGCGGUAAUACGGAGGGUGCGAGCGUUAAUCGGAAUUACUGGGCGUAAAGCGCAUGCAGGUGGUUUGUUAAGUCAGAUGUGAAAGCCCGGGGCUCAACCUCGGAAUUGCAUUUGAAACUGGCAGACUAGAGUACUGUAGAGGGGGGUAGAAUUUCAGGUGUAGACGGUGAAAUGCGUAGAGAUCUGAAGGAAUACCGGUGGCGAAGGCGGCCCCCUGGACAGAUACUGACACUCAGAUGCGAAAGCGUGGGGAGCAAACA